AUGAAUAAAAUACUGGCAUUGUGCAUCGGGUUACUGAUUAUAACCUUACCUUUUUCAUCUCAGGAGGACAAAACUUCAGAUAAACCAUCUAUCCCCACUUCAGCUGCUGCACCUAAAAAUCCUGUGGCCAGUGCUGCAGGAUUGGGUCCGCUGCCCACCACGCUGUGCCUUCUGAUCCCAGCAGCCACCCUGGGCUUCAUCCACAGUAGAUCCUAAACUGGCAGGAUGACCAAGAGGAGCUACGAUAGAUAGCCAGUCACAUGAAGACCAAAGUUUUCCAAAAUUCUUGACGAUAGAAGACACAAGAACAACUCAAGAAGAAGAUGCCACAACAAAUCACAUUUUUUUUUUCCCAGCAGCCACCCUGGGCUUCAUCCACAGUAGAUCCUAAACUGGCAGGAUGACCAAGAGGAGCAACGAUAGAUAGCCAGUCACAUGAAGACCAAAGUUUUCCAAAAUUCUUGACGAUAGAAGACACAAGAACAACUCAAGAAGAAGAUGCCACAACAAAUCACAUUUUUUUUUAAUAAUAAUAAAAACUGGGAUUUAAAGGAAAAUUUCCACUGUAUACUGUACCGAGGGUCCUCCAAACCCCAACAAAACCACACCAUCAGUGUUUUAGCCCUGCUUUAAAUUGGAUUCAUCAGUUGCAACAUCUUGUAAAAGACUGUAUGAAUCUGAUCACUGUAAUCCACCUUCUCCAAAAUAUUUUUGUACUAACUGUGAUGAACUAUUAAUUGCAAUGAUUAAGAAUGUGUCUAUAUGUACAAUUAAAGUGGAUGAUUGUAUAUGAUUGUGUGUGUCUAUUUAUCCAAAUUCAAAGUAGCGUGUUAUUUUUAAACAUGCUAUAAUCAGACUUUAAUUUAUGCGUUUAGAUUAUAAUAUUACACAAGAUUGACAUUUUAUAAUUAAUCUUACAUUGUCAAUACAAUUAGUGUGAUCUUGUCUUUGAAACGAUCUGUUUGGCGCACCUGUGUUUAGAGGAAGGAAGGCGUAUGUGUGCAAUCUUUUAGUUUUAACAACCGAACAAGCAGGUUACAAAUAUC
rnacentral:lncRNA from 1 species